AGAACUCCGGAUAUACAGUACAACGAGAUAUGUCGACAAAGCAAUUCAAAUUAUCAAGGAGAGCCGGAAAAAGCCCUUCUUCAUCUACCUAUCCUUGUUUACGAAGAUAUAUCCAUAUCUGUACAAAGGUUCAAACAAAUCUCUGACAGAGAUCAGGUGUG